CAAUUUUGUCCGGAGCAUAUCUCCUACAUGUAAGGAGGGAUUUUAAUGAAACUUCAUAGAAAUGUUCACCACUAUGAGGAGCAGUGUCGCGCACAUGAACCAGGUCUCUAGGUCAAAGGUCAAGGUCACACUUAGAGCUCAUUGAAAAAUGCUUGUCCGGAGCAAAACUUCCACAUAUAUAGAGGGAUUUCAAUAUUACUUGGCACAAAUGUUCACCAUUGUGAGGCGGAGUGUCGCGUGUAAGAUUCAGGUCCUUGCGGCCAAGGUCAAGGUCACACAUAGAGGUCAAAGUUCAGAUAAAAAAUAUGAAGAUGUGUAUAUGGACCAUUUAGUCAUCAUUUAUUGAGGGAUUGUAACACAAAUGGUCAUUAUCAAGACUAUGGCUGUGAUACAUAUAAUUUAGGUCAAUAUAUACAAGGUCAAGGUCACUAAAGAUGAUGAAAUAUCCAGAUUUUGUAAAUAGAAUUUAAUCAAAGGGCGACAACAAAGUUAUUACUUUGUUCAUAAAUGACUUACACAAUUACUCCCCUUGAUCUACUUUCACUUUCAAUUCUAAAAAUAGAAUUUAAUCAAAGGCAUAAAAUAAUCCUCUUUCUUGGACUUGAGUAUGUUCUAAAGAAUGUAACAUUUAUUUACACAUGUUUCAUUCAUUGGUCAAGAUUCUUAACUGUGAUAACUAUGGUGUUCUGUAGACUUGGUAUUUGUUCAUAAAGAUCAUACAGUAAUUACCUUAUCAAAUGUAAAUACUUUCCCAUAGAAAUUUAAUUAUAUUUUAAUUUUCAAGUAAAUAUCAGUUCAGCUCAUUCAAAGAUUAAGAAUUGUAAUGAAAUGUAUUUCCCUAGAAUAAAAUCUUAAAUCAGAAUUUUUUAGUUAUUAAAUUACAAUUACAUGUACUUUUUAUCUUCCCUAGUACUGAUUUGUUUUAAGGUUCAUUUAACAACACAGUGCCAAGGAUAAAAACUUGCUUGCUAGAUAACACUUAUCCAUAAUGCCCCCAUCUCCAUCUAAAGCUUUCGUAAACGGGCGUAUUUUGUGACUAUGGCACCCUUGUUUAGAAAUGAGGAACCUUUAAAUAAUCUGCAAUAACAUUCUAAUGAAAAAUGUUUUCCCAUUAAUUUUUGGUAAGAAACAACCAUUCAGCUAACAAUCCACAUAAGCAAAAUUAUGGUUUCUACUAAGAAUUUAUGAAAUCUGUAUAAAAAUGUUACCCUACCCCACCCAUUUUUACCACGUGUCUGACCAUUUUUCUACUUAGGGAGCCUAAUUUAAAAAAUUCUUAAAAUUUACCCAAAUGAUUGCCUGUUUUCAAAGUUUCCCUAAAUUUUUAAAAAAGUAUAUUGGUUGAUCUUGUAAAAUAUGAAAUACUUUUACCGUCGAGUUUUGAUUAUAUUACACUUUGAAAAUAUCAGGUACCAUAUUUAUUACUAGAUUUAGCAUAAUUUAGCCAAUAAAUACCUAUAUAAAUUAAAAAAUCAAAAUUAAACACUUUUUUCUUUCCAAAUGGGACAUGAGAGAUACAUAAUGUUAAAAGAAAAAAAGAAAGAAAAAAAAAGUUGACCCUUCUGGGGAUUGAACCCAUGGCUCUCAUUUUCAAUGUAGUUAACAGUAGUUUUAGCCUAUUUGAAUACUCUUCAAAGCGGAGGUAAUACAUUAGGGUGCUAAUACCUUAAAAAAAAAUCUUCUCUGAAAGUGCAAGGCCUAGAGUUUACAUAUUUUGCCUGAAGCAUCAUUUAAUGAAACUCUACAAAAAGUAUUCAAAUUAUAGCUCUGUGGUCAAAAUUGGCCCCACCCGGGGUCAUUGAUUUUUCAUUAUGUACAUACAGUAAAAACUUAAAAAAUCUUCUUUUUUGAAGAAACAAGGUUUAGAGCUUUCAUAUUUGGUAAAUGAUAUAAUCUUUAUAUCCUCUAACAAAGUUGUUCAGUUUGCCUGUAAUAAAAAUUGGCCCCAUCAGGAGCAUUAGGGCCAAUUAGGUUUCCAAAUAUUGAAAACAUUUUAGUGACUACUGUUUCAGUCCAAAUAUCUUGGAAAUUGGUCAGAAAAGUUGUUUUGAUGAUUUCUAGGGCUAUUUGGGAUAUGGGUCAUCUGGGGUCAAAAACUAGGUCACACAGCCCAAAUUAUGGAAAACAUAUUUACAUUCUAGGUAAUAUUUUCAUCCCAAAUAUCCUGAAAAUUUGGUCAGAAAGGUUGUUUUGAUCAUUUCCAGCUCAACUUUGAACAUGAGUCACCCGUUAAAUAGAAAAACUUUGUAAUCUCUCUAGAAGUUACAUUUUUAGCCCAAAUAUCCUGGAAAUUGGUCAGAAAGUUCGUGUUUUUUUAUUAUUUCUAGUUCAGGUUUGAAUAUGGGUCAUUUGAUGUCAAAAAAAGGUCACUGCACAAUAAAAUGUAUAUAUGGAAGAACCUUAUUAACAUUUCCACUAUUUCAGGUGCACAUAUGAAUGUUAUGAUAUCAGUUUAACUUUAUGGCAUUAUAUCUGUCUUUCAUUCAUUGCUUACAAAAUUAAUUCAGAGCCUCAAUAAUCAGGUGAGAGAUAGGUCCUCUUGUUUUAUUUUAGCUCGUAGAAUUGUAUGUAUUAUACAUGUAUAUAAAUGACCACAAAGGAAAGAUAUCGUGAAAAAAAAAAUCAACUUUUUCGCAGUCUUUGUCUUAAGAGACUGUUGUAUUAAAAGACUAUUUUUGGUGUUUACCUUGUAUAGUUGCUUAAUACAAGUUUCACUGUAAUGGAAAAACUUGAAAUGUUUGUUUUCAAGACCUACCCCUUUGAUACUUUUGCAUGAAGCAUUCGUUACCAAGUUGGCCUGUAAUGGGUUUGUUCAAAUCAUGAUCUUUUAACGUCAUUGGUAUUUAAGCUAUAACCUUCAUAUAUGGAGGUAUGAUACAUUUGAAUAUUAUUUAUCAAAUGGCAUGCGGAUAUUUGAUCUUGAACCCAAUUUGCCUGUCUGCUUAGCUCAAUAGGGAGUUUCAGAUUAGUUGUUAAGGAGGCAUUGGUUCGGUCCUUAGUUAAGGCGUAAUCCAUGACAAUUGACCUUGGAAAUUUAGUGUAUUGAUCAUUUUUCUGUCACUCAUGUGGGACUGGUGGUCAUUCACUUGCAGAGAAAUCUGUAAUUAGUAGUUAGUUAUCCAGAAAGGCUGGUCAGGUGGAUCAACUGCCGAGAUAUUACCCAAAAAAUGUGUUAUAAGUCAAUUUUUUAAACAUUCAUAACUUUAUUAUUGACCUGCAUAUUUGAAAAUGGUUUACAUAUGAACACUAGUUAUACAUUUGACAUGCCCCAAACCCAUAUUCAAAAUUGAGCAUUAAAGUCAUGGUUUAAUUUCCAAAUCUUCAUAUUUAUAUUUAGUCUUCUUUACAUAUGAUGUUUUGUUUUACAUGCUGAAAUAUUACCUUAAGUUGGAAUUGAUAAUGAUCAUUGUUAGGUAAUGUAUUUAUAUUACAAUUUUUCUCCUUACUAUUACAAGGGCUGUCCCACAAAGUCUUAGACAUCACUGUAAAAUAAUAAAAAUAUUGUAAUGUUCCAGUCUUAAAUAACUGCUCAAGUGUAUGACCAUCAAUCUGAAGUAAAUUAGGGAACAUUAUUUCUAGAAAAUAUACAAAAUAUAUUUAAAUAUUUAUACAGACUUAGUGAGUGUACAUGGCCCAGGACAAAAAUCAACUUUCUACAACCUUUACACAUUAUCUUAAAAACAAAACAAAUGGUCAACAAAGUUUGAAUAUCCACCUGAUUUUAUGGCAUUGACAUUUAUGGUAUGUCUGAUGCUAUGUGAAAUAAUUUCAAAGUUAACACAUCUUUACACUACUUCUAUAAUGCUAUCAUGACGUUUGGGCAUGGGCAGCAUAGCAUUAUCAUGUAGUCUUAAAAUUUGUUCUGAAUUGAAUGAUGUCUUGCUGAUUUUUUUGUUUGAUUUUACAUUCAGCAAAGGCUUACUAAAUAUGAGCAAAAAAUCUUUGAGGAGCCCAUUGAGUAUUUUGUAUUUAAACACUGUUGUCCAUGACAGUCCUUAGUUUUCUAUAAUGGGGUGGCAAUUCACAAAUUCAUCUUUUUAGAUUUUCACUUUCUUGAUAAAGAAGGAAAAAAAUUGAUUUUGUGUUAAAGCUUCAUCCCGUUAUUAAUGUUUUUUUCAUGUGAACUAGCAUACAUAUUUUAUGAUGAUUUUGAUCCUAAUAUAUCUUUAAAGAAACACAUUUGUUGAGCAUUUCUUGAAUUGUUUCAUUGUUUUAAAAUGUAAGAUAAGUUUGUGUGGUAUCCCCUAUUUUGUACAAGAUCCUAGACUACAUGUACACACUCUGUUUAGCAAUAUUUAAGAAACUUCCAAACAUGACAUCUGGAAUCAUUAAUGUAAAGAAUUGUUUAAGCUUUUAAAGUUAAUGAUUAAACCAUUCAGUUAUAUAACUGAGUUAUAAGUGAUGUCUUCAUGUAAUUAUAUACUGUUGAGCUUGUCAGUUUUUGUAACAAAUCUAGUAAGUGCUAAUAUUGUAACAAUAUGGUCAGAGAGGGAUUAUGGUCCAGAUGUUAGUUUCUCACUUUCAAACUGUACAAUAUUACUUUUUAUCUUAAAAUUAUAUACCAGUAUGUGAAGAUGGUUGAUAACUGUGUACAUAUGUUGGUGAUUUUUUUUUUCAACAAUGAAUUUGAUGAUUAAUUUGAAAUUCAUCUGUAUAGUUGACUUAUAGGUUAUUGCACUCAUAGUAUAUUAAACCUUUCAGGUUUCACUUCAAAUUGUUAAUUUAUCUGUUUGAAAUUUUCUGAUAUUAUGGAAUUAUUUUGGUAUAUUUAUGUUUAAAUAAGUCUGUAUCAUUUAAAGUAAACUGCUUAAUUAACCAUUACCAAGUCUCCAUUAGGCAUUGGAAAUAUAGCUUUUGUUAUCUUAAGUUAAAGGUUAAGCUGGCCAUAUUUUAUUUAUUAAACACUAUAUCAAAAGAUGUUUGUUUUAAAAGUCUGCAUUUGUUUUAAGUCUUCCUUUAAGUCAUGUAAUAUAGGAUUCUAUUAUUCUUUCAAACACUGUUCAAAAAGCUAAUUGUUGGAGAUUUUGUGCAAGAAUAAAUUGAGUUUGGAUUGCAGUGUAGAUGUGUUUUACUGUAAGACUAACAAUGUUCUGCUCUCAUGUCUCUCAUUGGUAUACAUUAAUUUGCCUGUUUGAUGUUUUAAUGUUGUUACAUAUCAUAUAUAGUGGUUCAAGUAAAUGCAGAAUCAGUGUGUUUGUUCAUCAUGUAAUUCUUCUCUUUUUGCAAGAUAUAUGUUAAUGUUUAUUUAGUCUUGCCAUUUCUUUUACCUCACUUCUUAUGCUGGGACAGAUGAGCUUUUAGGAUUGUUGGCUGUCUGUUAUCUACAAUUCAUUCAAACUACAUCCCCUAUAAAUCCACCAGGCCAGAUUUGAUAAUUAUGGCUAAAAUUUUCCUUACUUGAAUCUCUACCAAAGUUGCUCAAAUGGUGCCAAUCCAUUGCAUAUCUGGAAUCUGUGUGUCUAAAACCAUUAUACCUAGACAUUAGAUAUUAGGUAUGUAGUAUUAUUUUAUGAACCGCUAUAAUGAUUGUUGAAAUCAUUGCCCAAUUUCAUAUCAGUUGACCUAGAUUUCUUGACCUAGUGACCUACAUUUUUGUUAAUGUUGCUGAAGCAUUGACAUUUAGACCUCAUGACACUCAAUUUUAAUGACUUUUGUGCUUAAAAUUUGGAUCAUUGAUAAUCCUUAUAUAUAUACGAAAAACUUAAAAAAACUUCUGUUAAAAAAUCCAAAUAGCUAGACCUUAGAUAUUAAGCAUGAAACAUCUUCUAAUGGGUGUCUACCAAGUUUGUUCAAAUAAAAGCCCUGGGGUCAAAAUAGGCCCUGCCCCAGGGGGUCAUUAAUUUUUCUUAUGUGUAUAUUUAGACAUUUUUUUUUUUUAAAAACCCAAAUAGCUAGAGCUUAGAUAUUAAGCAGAAACAUCCUGUAGUGGAUGUCUACCAAGUUUGUUCAAAUAAAAACGCUGGUGUCAAAAUUGGCCCCGCCCUGGGGAGACUUUGAUUUUCUUUAUAUGUAUAUAGUAAAAAUUUAAAAAACUUCUUUAAAAAAACACAAGGAGCUAGAGCUUAGAUAUUAAGAAUGAAACAUCUUCUAAUGGUUGUCUUCAAAGUUUGAUCAAAUAAAAGCCCUAGGGUCAAAAUUGGCUCGGCCUUGGGGGUCAUUGAUAUUCCUUAUAUGUACAUAGUAAAAACUUAAGAAAUCCUCUUUAGAAAAACAUAAGUAGCUAGAACUUAGAUAGUAAGCAUAAAACAUCUUCUAGUGAGUGUCUAUCAAGUUUGUUCAAAUAAAAGCCCAUGGGUCAAAAUUGGCCCGCUCAGGGGUUUUUGAUUUUCCUUAUAUGUAUAUAGUAAAAACUUAAAAAAUCUUCUUUUAAAUAACUUAAGGAGCUAAACAUGAAACAUCUUCUAGUGGGUGUUUUUCAAGUUUAUUCAAAUAAAAGCCUUGAGGUCAAAAUUGGCCCACCCCGGGAGGUGGUUGAUUUUCCUUAUAUGUCUAUAGAAAAAAAAAAUUUCUUUAAAAAAAAACCAAAUAGCUAGAGCUUAGAUAUUUAACAUGAGACAUUUUCUAGUGGGUGUCUACCAAAUGAAAUUGACCCCCACAGGGUCAUUGAUUUUCCUUAUAUGUACACAUCUUUUGGAACUAUUGUUUUCCCUUAAGCAAUAGCAACAAGUAAUGUUUUUACACAUGCACUAUUUCAAAAACAAAUAUGAACUUUGUAAUAUCAGUUUUAGAUUUUAUAUCUGCCUUUGUUUAUAGUUAACAAUAUAUUACUUGUUCCUUGUCAUGGAGAGUUUCUAUAUUCAGGUGAGCGAUUUCAGGGCCAUCAUGGCCCUCUUCUUGUUUAUAAUUAUUAUUAUUAUUCUUGCUAUUUUGACACAUUAUAGGACAGGUGUGCGAAGAAGGGCCAUCAUUGUGCUCUUGCUUUAUGGAUCAACAUUAUUUAUUUAAUAUAUUUAUUUGUUCAUGAAAUUGUAAUUAAAUCCAUUGUAUCAUAUUGAGCUUUUAGAACACCAUGCCAUCUGUCUGUCAUUUCCAUGACCAUUAUUUCUUAAUAAAUCACCAAAAUUCUCUUGAAAAGUUUGAUGUUUGAAAAAUUACAAUAAACUAUUCUUAAAUUGAGAAGUACAUUGAAAUUUUAUUAAAAUUUUCAAUAGGAGUGUAUAUGAAGAUGAUUGUUUUAUUUUUGUAACACCCUACUUUCACUGGUUGAAAUUUACAAUUAUCUUCAGAACUGUAGAUGUCUACAGUGGCUGUGUUUUGCCGAAAUUUUAAAAAUACAUCUUGUUAAUGGUCAUUCAUUGCAUUUGAAACAUUUUUUUGCACUUUAUUAUAUUGAGAUUGAUUACCAACUGGCUGUGUUUAUCCAUUUCAUUUUGUCUACAGCAUCUUCUCAGAAUUCAUCAGGGUUAUACAAUUUUAGCUCAACAUACUUUUUUAAAUCCAAGGAAGAUACCUUUUCAAAAUUCUUCUCAGAAAACUGGUUACAAAAACCUUGACCAUCUUGUCAAAAACCAUUGUCCAUUUUAUAUUAUUACAUCAUAGAAAUGUUCUUAUUAAUAGUCUAGAAUAGCCCUAAGCAUAUAGUCUGAUAAAUCCUUACUCUGGUCUUUCAUUUGAAUAAAUAUAGAUUUAACCACAAACAUUGACAUGACUCUUUUAUUAAUAAAUACAUUGUGGUGAAAUUAUUCUUGUAAUCCACUAAUGUGAUAAGUAGACAGGUUAGGGUCAUAUAGGGAUCUAUCCAUUGCCAAUCGGGUCAUCUUUUCUUACAAGAGGUCAUUUGUUGGAUAUCUCUUUUGUAAAAAAAGUACUCAUUAGCAUUAUUUAAGUACCCAAUAAUACUGAAGAAGUGAAUAGAAUUUACAGUUACUUUUGGUUCCUGGUACUCUGCAAAAGUCUACUUGUUUGCUCCCCAGUUUUACUUGUACCAAUAGUUUUAUUGUGCCCCCACUACUGGUAGGGGGGGGACAUUUAGAUUUACCUUUGUCCGUCAGUCGUCUUUCUGUCCGUUCUCUUUUUGUGUCCCACAUAGCUCAAAAAGUAAUUGACCUAGAGUCAUGAAACCGUACAGGAAUGUUGAUCAGCAUGUGUAGUUGUGCACCGGGGUAUUUUCAUGUGGAUAUUUUUAGUAUUUUUAGAGUUAUUGCCCUUGACUUAGUAAAAAUUUCCAAUUUUCAACUUGUCUCGCAUGAAACUAAAAAAGUAAUUGACCUAGAGUCAUGAAACUUUACAGGAAUGUUGCUCAGCAUGUGUAGUUGUGCACCUGGGUAUUUUCAUGUGGAGUUAUUGCCCUUGACUUAGUAAAAAUUUCCAAUUUUCAACUUGUGUCGCACGUAACUAAAAAAGAAUUUGACCUAGAGUCAUGAAACGGUUAACCUUAAAAGAAUGUUGCUCAGCAUGUGUAGUUGUGCACCUGGGUAUUUUCAUGUGGAUAUUGUUAAGAUUUUUAGAGUUAUUGCCCUUGACUUAGUAAAAAUUUGCCAUUUUCAACUUGUGUCGCACAUAACUCAAAAAAUAUUUGACCUAAAGUCAUGAAACCUUACAGGAAUGUUGCUCAGCAUGUGUAGUUCUGCACCUGGCUAUUUUCGUGUGGAUAUUUUUAGUAUUUUAAGAGUUAUUGCCCUUGACUUCGUAAAAAUUUACAAUAUUAAACUUGCGUUGCAUGUGACUCAAAAAGUAUUUGACCAGUAUGCCUGAAAGUUUACAAGAAUGUUGGUCAGCAUGGGUACUUAUGCACCUUGGGGUUUUCUUGUGGAUUUAUUCAGUAUUUGUAGUAUUUGCCCUUUACUUAAUAAAAGAUUUUUAGUUUUCAACUUGGGCACAUGUAGCCAAAAAAAAAUUUGACCUAGAGACAUAAGAUUGACAAAUCCGUGGAGUGUGGGGGCACCCGUGUCCUAUGGACACAUUUCUAGUUAAAAGCAAACUUACUAGCCAAUGUCAAGUCAAUGAUCUUGGCAACUGACCUAACAGCAACAUAUAUUUCCUAUGUGAUAUUUUGGUAACCAAUUCCAGGAACUUGAAUAUAUCUUAGUUUUAUGUGCACAAGCUGCUUUAUACUUCACAAACUUGGUAAUCUAUACAAGUUUAUGAUCUUGUCAGGUGACAGAGCUUUGACUUCCAUUUUCCCCAGUUAUUUCCCUUUUAGCACCUUGAAAAUGGAUAUUGUUAACCUAUUCUGGCAAGUUGGAGAUACCAUUAGUUUUAUUAUUGGCGUCCGCGCGGAAGCGCGGCGCCCCUUAUGGAAUGAAAUCAGAUUUUGUGAAAGGGCGACAGCAACUUCUCGAGCCUUUUAGUCGGUCAUGAUAAAAGCCGAUCAUUCCGAUCGGUAUGAGGGUGCUUGAUUAUUAAUUAAGAAUGAAAUGUCGCGAUAUGUACAAUGAAUAGCGAACUGGAGAAUUUCGCAAUGCAAACAUUUUCAAAUGAAAUAACCUUUUCCGUCAAUCAAUCGGCUCUUCGGGGUUUUUUAGUACACAGUGGGUUAUUUUGUAAUGUUAUUGUUGUACAUGUAUCCGAAAGCUGUAAAUAGAAUGAUUAAUCCUAUCGGUAAUUCCCUGUCUCUCUCGGUCUAUUUUGACCGGGAUUUACUAGUGACCAGCGAAUAGUAUCAUACGUUUAUUGUCCGGUCUCUCCCGAUUUUGGAGUAGAUGUUUGAUAUCGUUACAGAACAGAACAAAUAUUUUACAGAUAAAUAAGCUUUUUUUCCAAAAUGAAUAUUUGUCACUUAGUUUGGUUACACUCAGAUUAUUGAUUAUUAUUAUACAUAAACAUACAAUUCGAAAAAAAAACCAGCAACAACAACAACAAUAGCAUGUUUCAUUUUAUCUAUAUGAGAUAAAAACAAUAAAUAUGUACAAUGAUUGAGAAAAAAGGUACAUUUUUAUGGUAUUAAUAUGACACUAUCAACUUUGAAACAUUUUAUUUAAUGUUUAGUGUUUAGUAAAGAUGACGAGGAAUUAUUCAAAGUUACAAAUUAGAUUUUAUGAAUUAUUCAAUUGAUUGAUAGUUUAAAAAAUGAUAAAGAAAAAUACAAAUGUACAUGCCAUUGGUUUAAGAAUAAACAAUAUUAUAUAUUGAAAGAUUAACCAUAAUUUACUGACUUUUAUUUCAGUUUUGAUAUGACAAUUGAAUUCUUAAAAUUUAUUUUACAAUUUUAAUAACAAAAGAGUAGUAAACGUAAAAACUCAGUAUUAAAAAAGCACAUAAAAACAAAAGAAAAGAAAACAAUAUUCAUAAAAUCUGUAUUUUUUUAUUAUUAAAAUAGAUAUUACAAUUAUUGUAUAAUAAAACUAUUAUGAUCAACAUGGUAAUAUAACCUGUGUCAUAUUUUUACUAAGUGUGAACAGAUACCUUAAGAGCUAAUAGCGAUAACAUAAUAAGGGACAAUUUCACAAGUGUGGUGUUGAUCAUGCGUUACACAUAUGAAUUAUAAAUGAUUGUAUACAUGUAUAUCCGUUACUAUUAAUAAUCACGAUCAUAAAGAAUAAUUUACAAGUAAUAUUCUAAUCUCUAGCAUGCCAAUCAAAGUUCAUAAUGAACUAUGUUUUUCGUCCGUUCAUUCAUAAGUGAUAUACAAUUCUGGUAAAAACCAAUUAACCAUUGAAAAGAUUAUAAGAAUAUCUUGUCAUCAUAUGUCUACUAGUUCAUCGUCACUUGCUGCAUUUCUUGCUUGGACGCCCUUUGAUGCUUUGCAUCAAUGCUUUUCUUGUUAUCAAUGGAAUGGCUUCAUGAUAUACAAAUUUGCUUAACAAUACAUAGGCCCUGACCUUGGCAUCUUGCAUUUUUGCAGUAUGCAUUCUAAAUAAUUUAGCUUAGGUUAUCCUAUUUAAGCUGCUUCAAUAUAAAUAUGUUAGCAAGUCACACAGCUGCUUUACCCAUUUUUAGUCCCCUUCCGCAUAGCGGAAUGGGGUUUAUAAGUAUGGCCUCAGUCUGUCAGUCCGUCCCUCUGUCCAUCCGUAACACUUUCGUGUCCACUCCAUAACAUUAAAACUGCAGAAAAUUUUUUGAAAUAACUUGGCACAAGUGAUCACCAUAAUGAGAUGAUGUGCAGAGCGCAAAAAUUGGGUUGCUGCCCCCAAUACCAAGGUCACACUUAAAGGUCAAAUGUUAAAAAGUCUUCAUUUCAUAAUAAAGAGUCUACAUAAACAUUUUUGUGUCCGCUCCAUAACUUUUUAACCGCUGAAAAUGUUUUGAAAUAACUUGGCACAACUGAUCACCAUUAUGAGACGAUGUGCAGAGCGCAAUAAUUGGGUUUCUACCCCCAAGGUCAAGGUCACACAGGUCAAAUAUUAAAAGUCUACAUUUCGUGUCCGCUCCAUAACUUUUUAACCACUGAAAUUUUAAAAAGAUAACUUGACACAAUUGAUCACCAUUAUAAGAACAUUUGCAGAGUACAAUAAUUGGGUUGCUACCCCCAUAGUCAAGGUCACACUUAAAGGUCAAAUGUAUAAAAGUCUACAUUGCAUGUCCCCUCCAUAUCAUUUAAACCUCUGAAUAUGUUUUAAAUAGCAAGAUAACUUGGCAGAAAUAAUCACCAUUAUGACACCAUUGGCAGAGCACAAUAAUCAAGUCAAAACCCUUAAGGUCAGGGUCACACUCAAAGGUCCAAUUUAAAAACAUCUAUUUUUCAUGUCCGCUCUAUAGAACUUAUAACUUGACAAUUCAAAGGUUUUAAAAUUACUUGGCACAAAUGAUCCCCACCAUGACACAAUCUGCAAAGCUCAACAUCCAGAUCGCUACACCCAUGGGCAAGGUUAUAAGUUCUCCAUAACUUUUUGACUUUAUGGAAGAUGGCACAAAAAACCACCAUCGUGAGAUUAUGUGCUUAUGAUAUGCGUGACACAACAUCAAGGUCAUGGUUGGUAAAAGGUCAAGAAGUACACAUUCAUGUUCACUGCGGAAGGGGAUUUAGCUGUCCUUCAGACUGCCUUGUUCAAUUUUUAGCUCACCUGUCACAGAGUGACAAGGUGAGCUUUUGUGGUCAUAAUUCGUCCGUCCCUCCGUAAACUAUUACUUUAAACGACUCCUCAUAAACCACUAAGCCAAUUUCAUUCAAACUUCACAGGAAUGUUCCUCUAAAAAUUGUGAAAAGAAUCUAAUUCCAUGCAGAACUCUAUUUGGCAUGAAACUUCUUCAAGUGAGUGUCUACCAAGUUUGUUCAAAUAAAACCCUGGGGUCAAAAUUGGCCCCGUCUAGGAGGGGGGGUCAUUGAUUUUCCUUAUAUGUAUAUAGGAAAAACUUAAAAAAUCUUCUGUCAAAAAACUUUAAUAGCUAGAGCUUAGAUAUAAAGCAUGAAACAUCUUUUAGUGAGUGUCUACCAAGUUUGUUCAAAUAAAAGCCCUGGGGUCAAAAUCUGCCCCACCCAAGGGGGUCGUUUAUUUUCCUUUAAUGUGUAUAGUAAAAACUAAAAAAUCUUCUUUUAAAAACUCAAAGAGCUAGAGCUUAGAUAUUUGGCAUGAAACAUUUUCUAGUGAGUGUCUACCAAGUUUAAUCAAAUUAAAAUAGCUAGAGCUUAGAUAUUAGGCAUGAAACAUCUAAUAGUGAGUGUUUGUUCAAAUAAAAGCUCUUGGGUUUAAAUUGUCCCGUCCCGGGCGGUCAUUGAUUUUUCUUAUAUGUAUGUAGUAAAAACUUAAAAAAUUGUCUUUUAAAAAACCCAAAAUAUGAAGUAGAAAAAUCUAAUGGGUUUCUACCAAGUUUGUUCAAAUAGAAGCCCUUGGGUCUAAAUUGGCCCGCCCCUUGGGGUCAUUGAUUUUCCUUAUAUGUACACAUCUUUUGAAACUGUUGUUUUCCCUUAGCAAUAGCAAUCAGUUAUGUUGUUUUUUUCACACGCACUAUUUCAGAUACAAAUAUGAACUUAGUGAUAUCAGUUUAAGAUUUAGAUUUUAUAUCUGCUUUUGUUCAUAGUUUAGAAUAUUACUUGUUCCUUGUCAUGGACAGUUUGAAUAUUCAGGUGAGCGAUUUCAGGGGCAUGAUGGCCCUCUUGUUUCUUAACAUUUAAUUACGCUUGUUAAGUUGAAUACAUUGAAAGUUCUAUUGGUACCUUAGGCUUCUUAUUAUAUGCAUUAUUUUGCCAGUACAAAAGCCAUGAUCUUGGCAAAUGUCAAAAAUGAUAUAUCUAUUUUCCCAGUUACUUCUCCUUGAUACACUUACUUCUUUUCAAAAAGAGGGAGAUUUCAGAGUUUGAAAUAAACAACGAAAGAAGGAAGUUCUGACAUCAAAAAUAGGGAGAUUUAUUAAUUUGUGAAAAUACCCAUUAUUUUAAGACAAAUCUUCGAAAAUAUGGCUGCAGAAAAUGAGAGUCUCCCGCUAAAAGUGGGAGAGUUCAUAUGUAUGUAUGCCAGGGUUCAAAUUACAGUUCACAUACAAACAAAAUAGGAUUGAAUUUUGUAAGUUGCAAGUGAUACCUAACACUCGCAAAUUUUUUGGCUGAGAAAGAAUAUCAUCACCGAUGAGCAGCAAGAUAGUAAUGUCUGUAAUAUUUUAAUGAAAACUUCAACUGAAUGUCAUUGAUGAUGGUGCAUGAUUUUUGCAGGUUUUGUUAACCGUACAUGGACACUGCAAGCCAAAAUUCAAACCCUGUAUAAUUCAAUUUUGAAAGUUAAUUUCUCAUUUUGCAAGCUUGUUGAUAAGUUUUAUGUGGUAAUUAUUUUACAACAUCAUAUUUCAUCAACCAUUAAAGAUAUUUGCUUGUAAUUGCUCUCGUGUAUUUGAGAUCAUAAUGGGAGGUCACUAUCGGUGACAUGAAUCUUGACCCUUUUCAACAUAGAAAACUUGUGCAACAUCAAUCUUCUAAGCUACUGAAAAUAUUCACUUGGAUCAUAAUUAUAGAGGACAUUCUCAGUCUUAUAACUGUGGUAUUGGUUUUGACUAAAUUAUGACCCUUUGUGAACUUGGAAAACUCUUGGUUACAGUUUUUUAUGCAUCAUCGAUCUUCAAGACCACUGAAGCUAUCUUCAUAAAAUUUAAUGCAUUGCUUUGAGAACAUAAUUGGAGGUCACUGUUAAAAGCAUGAAUUUUUUAUGAAAUAUUGCUCUUUGUGAAUAUAGAAAAUUAUAGUGUCAAUAUCAAAGAUGCACAACUGACAGUGUGUCAUGUAUUUUUUUGAAUGAUAUCUUCUUUUUGUUAAUUCUUACAUUAUCCAGGCUCUUGUUUUACUGCAAAAAGUCAAGCAUCCAGUCAUCUAUUGACUUUUUCUCCAGUUAACUUCAUUAUAUGUAUAGCAGCACUUUACUUUGACUGUAUACUUAGUUCUAUAAAUAGAUACAUCCAUAGCAGUCUAUUGUAGUUAAAUAAGAUAAAAGAAAUUUUCAAAUUAUUCUUAAACAAAAUUUUUUUAUGAUGAUUACUAUGUUUAAAUUUGAAGAUCAGUUCAAAAUAUUUUUUUGAUGACUAUGACAUUUUAUUGAACCACAUAUGUGUACAACAUACAUUUGUCUAUUGUAUUUACUGUGAAUUUUAUCUGCAUUUCAGAGCCUAUGAUUGUUAACCUAGGAGCUUAUCAGCCUGUUCUGCAUUUCCAAAUUCAUCAAAGCAAUAUGGCACAGCCAUGUAUAUAUUUUAAUGUGAUGUCCAGUAUGUGAUAUAAACAUACAAUAACUCAUGCUAAAUUGAAGUGCUAAGCCAGUCAAAUAGCAUCAAUGAAAAACAUUUUUUUUUUACUGAGAACUUAUUUAAGGUAUGAAUUAAAUGAAAUUUAAUAUUGUUACUGCUUCAGAGAUUUGUAUCAUGUAAUAUUAUUCAACUUGUUCAGUAAUUCAGUAUUAAGUAUUUACUCAAUAAUUAUAAGCUAUAUACAAGUGAAAAAAAAAGCUAUGAGGCAUAAUUAUGAAGGCUACAAUAAUUUUCCUUAAAGUUGGCAUUCAUUUUAAAAUCAGCAGAAAUGAAAAUUGUUAUAGUAUUCCCCCUAUGAUUCCAUGCUUUGUUCUUUUUGCUUAUAAAUUUUCCUAACCUUUUUUUAAGUGCUAACUAGCAAUAUAAACAAUCUUUUAAGAACACAGUAAUUAGGUUAUACAAGAACUUGUUGAGUAUAAAAAUGUGUACGAAAUAGGGUCUCAGUAAGAUGGGGCAAUAUUGUAAAUAAACACAAAGAUAAUUAAGAUAUUGUGUAGAGGUUAUCUCUCCAACAAGUAUACAAUCCAGCAGAAAAUCACAACAAGUGACAGUAUUUUACUUUUUUACUGUACUUAAAUUGACCCGCCAUCAUCUCCCUUUAGAAAAUGUAAGGCCUUUUUGUAUGUUUAUUAGGGAAUAAACAGUAUUUAUCAUUAGCUAUUGCAACAAUGUUAUUAAUGACUGUGAAAACCAGAUUACAUUAGGGAAUGAUUACAUUAGGGAAUCCAAAAUAUCUUAGUUCCAGAGUAAGCUUUGUAAUGUUGCUGCUGUAUGAAGAAUUAUUGCAAUUGUUUUGUGAUUUGGGCUCACUUUUCUAUAAAUAUGUUUAUGUUCUUAACUGUUUUUCAAUGGUAUACAGUAAUUGAUUAUACAGUAUUACUAUAUAUAAAGAUAAACUAUCAUGUCAUAUUAUAAAACUGUUAUUAUGAUCUGUGUAAAUAGUUUUUUUAUUGAGAGGCCUUUAUGUCAGGCUUCCUUACAAAACUAAUUAACUAUCAGUAAUGUAAUAAACAUUUAAGAAUCUAAAA